GACGGGUGAGUAACACGUGGGCAACCUGCCUGUAAGACUGGGAUAACUUCGGGAAACCGAAGCUAAUACCGGAUAGGAUCUUCUCCUUCAUGGGAGAUGAUUGAAAGAUGGUUUCGGCUAUCACUUACAGAUGGGCCCGCGGUGCAUUAGCUAGUUGGUGAGGUAACGGCUCACCAAGGCAACGAUGCAUAGCCGACCUGAGAGGGUGAUCGGCCACACUGGGACUGAGACACGGCCCAGACUCCUACGGGAGGCAGCAGUAGGGAAUCUUCCGCAAUGGACGAAAGUCUGACGGAGCAACGCCGCGUGAGUGAUGAAGGCUUUCGGGUCGUAAAACUCUGUUGUUAGGGAAGAACAAGUACGAGAGUAACUGCUCGUACCUUGACGGUACCUAACCAGAAAGCCACGGCUAACUACGUGCCAGCAGCCGCGGUAAUACGUAGGUGGCAAGCGUUAUCCGGAAUUAUUGGGCGUAAAGCGCGCGCAGGCGGUUUCUUAAGUCUGAUGUGAAAGCCCACGGCUCAACCGUGGAGGGUCAUUGGAAACUGGGGAACUUGAGUGCAGAAGAGAAAAGCGGAAUUCCACGUGUAGCGGUGAAAUGCGUAGAGAUGUGGAGGAACACCAGUGGCGAAGGCGGCUUUUUGGUCUGUAACUGACGCUGAGGCGCGAAAGC
rnacentral:rRNA from 1 species